AAUAGAUACCCCGGUAGUCCACGCCGUAAACGAUGAGUGCUAGGUGUUAGGGGGUCCAACCCUUAGUGCCGAAGUUAACACAUUAAGCACUCCGCCUGGGGAGUACGGCCGCAAGGCUGAAACUCAAAGGAAUUGACGGGGGCCCGCACAAGCGGUGGAGCAUGUGGUUUAAUUCGAAGCAACGCGAAGAACCUUACCAGGUCUUGACAUCCCUCUGGCCUCUCUAGAGAUAGAGAUUCCCCUUCGGGGGCAGAGGUGACAGGUGGUGCAUGGUUGUCGUCAGCUCGUGUCGUGAGAUGUUGGGUUAAGUCCCGCAACGAGCGCAACCCUUGAGAUUAGUUGCCAGCAUUCAGUUGGGCACUCUAAUCUGACUGCCGCAGACAAUGCGGAGGAAGGUGGGGAUGACGUCAAAUCAUCAUGCCCCUUAUGACCUGGGCUACACACGUGCUACAAUGGAUGGUACAAAGGGUUGCGAAGCCGUGAGGUGAAGCCAAUCCAUAAAGCCAUUCUCAGUUCGGAUUGU
rnacentral:rRNA from 1 species